rnacentral:rRNA from 1 species
CACGUAGGGCGCAAGCGUUGUCCGGAAUUAUUGGGCGUAAAGAGCUCGUAGGCGGUCCGUUACGUCUGCUGUGAAAACCCGGGGCUCAACCCCGGGCUUGCAGUGGAUACGGGCGGACUAGAGGCAGGUAGGGGAGAAUGGAAUUCCCGGUGUAGCGGUGAAAUGCGUAGAUAUCUGGAGGAACACCGGUGGCGAAGGCGGCAUCCUGGACCGAGAUUGACGCUGAACAGCGAAAGCUAGGGGAGCAAACGGG